UACGUAGGUGGCAAGCGUUGUCCGGAUUUAUUGGGUUUAAAGGGUGCGUAGGCGGCUUUGUAAGUCAGUGGUGAAAUAUGGCAGCUCAACUGUCAAGGUGCCAUUGAUACUGCGGAGCUUGAGUACAGAUGAGGUAGGCGGAAUUGACGGUGUAGCGGUGAAAUGCUUAGAUAUCGUCAAGAACACCUAUAGAGAAGGCAGCUUACUAGGCUGUAACUGACGCUGAGGCACGAAAGUGUGGGGAUCAAACAGG
rnacentral:rRNA from 1 species